UUUCUUCUUUAGCAUCUCACUAAAGUACCGUUCUUCGUAUCUUUUACUUUCUUCUUAAUUUUCACAGGUCUAAAAAUUAAAUUCUCCUCGUUGGAGGGCAAUCUCCCGCAUGCACAGAAUACACAGGGAAAGAAACAACACCAGGGGAGCUCACCAUCCAUGCCCCCAUGUCUUUCCUCAUCCCCCUCCCUGUCCUUACCUGGGAUCCAGAGCAUCAGCAGCCCCAGGAGCUGAGAAGGGAACCUCAUCUUGAGAAGCUGAGCUGAGGAGCCCUAAUAAAGAUAGAUCGAUUGAUUGAUCGAUCGAUAGACACACACACAUGCCAUGUGGUAUAUAUGAGACCCUUCAUUACAACAGUGACAGAACCUGAUGAUUCUUCAUGUGUCUGCUUGACGUUAUCAUAUUGAGAUAUUUGUGAGAAUUGUGUCAACCUCAAGUUACCUCCCAAUUAAAGUCACUGUCCUCAAACAAAAUCCUGGAGAAACUGAAAGCAUAGAGUUUGUAGUUCUACUGAGUCUCAGUGACCUAAUCAUUGUAUAAUGGAGGGGUUUGGAAAUUAAUGCUCUUAGGAUUGUUUCCAUGAUCAGAAGAAAAGAGAAUGAGAGCGAGAUAUGCUUUCCUGGAUCUGAUCUUCCUACCCUGUACUCAUAUCUCAAUAUUUUCUUCUCCUCCCUAAUGAACGUUGCUAGUGAAUGAAUUCAGAAAGACAAGCCACAAUAAUGAAAAAUGUCACUAUGAAGACAAAAAGGAAAAUAUAAGACAAUAUUAUAAAUGUUAAGUCUAAAAAUUAAAUUCCCCCUGUUGGAGGGCAAUCUGUCCCAUGCACAGAAUACACAGGGAGAGAAACAGCACCAGGGGAGCUCACCAUCCACGCCCCCAUGUCUUUCCUCAUCCCCGCCCUGUCCUUACCUGGGAUCCAGAGCAUCAGCAGCCCCAGGAGCUGAGAUGGGAACCUCAUCUUGAGAAGCUGAGCUGAGGAGCCCUAGUAAGUAAAGACAAGCCUAGAGCUGACCUUUAUCUCAGACUUUCAAGGGAAGGUCCUCCCCAGGGGACAAUAUGCAAAUCCCCUGGUGGGUGUGGCAGAGUGGAAAGAGGCACAGGCAGGUGCAGGUCCCUCUCCUGCCAGUGUAGUAGCUUAAAAGGUCUUCUGUGCUGGGAGGAAAGCUAACAGAGACAAAUUCUUUACUGCCUGAGUAGGAAGGAGGAUCGAAGGGUAAAGUCAGGAUCUGUGGGAAGACAGUGCUCAGAGUCCUGCCCUUCUGUGAAA